ensembl:lncRNA
GUUUCUGCUAGCUCUAGUUGUGUCGUUGUUGGUCUGUCACACAGGAUGUUGGGCACUGCACUGACACAGCCAUACAAGUCUGGAGAGUCGGUAAGAUCGACAAGUAGCAUGGCCUUUUCCCUGUCACUAGAAGGGUUUCAGACGUCCUGGAUAGAUUUGUUUCAUAUGAGGUCACGUGUCCUUUUGAUGACAGCCGUCGUAUUAAAUAAGGGAGCUGAGAAAACAAACGUUCUUCGUGUAUUGGGUGGAUUUGAUCUAUCUUGACACUCCAUAUUAAGACCUUGAAGAAGGCGCAGUGAUUCCGAGACGUUGGAUGCUGCAAUGGAGAGCGAGUACUGCCAGCUGGCCCUGUGUUUGCAGUACUGGGAAAGAACGUCACGUUCACACCGCCCUAAAACCCUCAGAUGUGGUCAACUUUAUCACUGCAGCAUGGAAUUUCAACGCUGGCAGUGUACAAGGUUGUCACGCUCAGAGGAGAGAACGUUGGCGCUGGCUACGCUGGAAGAGUGUCACUGAAUUCAUGCUUUAAAAAUCACAAAAAGUGUCUUCAGCUGAUGAAAAUGAUCUCACAGAACAAAUGUAUAAGAUCUCCUAAGCCUGUGUUUUAACACAGACCUUGCUUUCGGCUUUUUCCAAAAAUGCCAUUCCUUCCCACAUAGGCUUUGUCUAACAAACCGUGGCGGAGUUGGUGCCUACAAGAAGAUGCCAUUACUAUUUCAAUAUGUAUGUCCUCAUCAAUUUCUUGCCCUCCCCAUCACUUCUUCUCCCAUUCACCAUUUUCUACCUCUUCUCUCCCCUCCCAUCAGAACCCUUCUCCAACCAGGUGGUGUGUUCAAGUUGCCCAGUUUGGCUUUCAACCUUCUCUCUCUCUCUUUCACUUGGAUCUGAUGGGAGGACUUGACCUAUCCCACAAGCCCCGAAGAGGUUCAGGGGACACACACACACACUCUUUCACAAACAAACAGACAGAUAGACUGUAACAGAACUAUUGUACUACAUUACUACAGUGCUUACUAAAAGUAUUUUCUAUGUACUAACUGUAUUAUGAAGUAUUUAGAACAUAGACACAAAG